rnacentral:rRNA from 1 species
UAAGUUAGAAAGGGCGCACGGUGGAUGCCUUGACACUAGGAGUCGAUGAAGGACGGGACUAACGCCGAUAUGCUUCGGGGAGCUGUAAGUAAGCUUUGAUCCGAAGAUUUCCGAAUGGGGAAACCCACUAUACGUAAUGGUAUGGUAUUCUUAUCUGAAUACAUAGGGUAAGGAAGACAGACCCAGGGAACUGAAACAUCUAAGUACCUGGAGGAAGAGAAAGCAAAUGCGAUUUCCUGAGUAGCGGCGAGCGAAACGGAACAUAGCCCAAACCAAGAGGCUUGCCUCUUGGGGUUGUAGGACAUUCUAUACGGAGUUACAAAGGAACGAGGUAGACGAAGCGACCUGGAAAGGUCCGUCGUAGAGGGUAACAACCCCGUAGUCGAACUUCGUUCUCUCUUGAAUGUAUCCUGAGUACGGCGGAACACGUGAAAUUCCGUCGGAAUCUGGGAGGGACCAUCUCCCAAGGCUAAAUACUCCCUAGUGAUCGAUAGUGAACCAGUACCGUGAGGGAAAGGUGAAAAGCACCCCGGAAGGGGAGUGAAAGAGAUCCUGAAACCGUGUGCCUACAAAUAGUCAGAGCCCGUUAACGGGUGAUGGCGUGCCUUUUGUAGAAUGAACCGGCGAGUUACGAUCCCGUGCGAGGUUAAGCUGAAGAGGCGGAGCCGCAGCGAAAGCGAGUCUGAAUAGGGCGUUUAGUACGUGGUCGUAGACCCGAAACCAGGUGAUCUACCCAUGUCCAGGGUGAAGUUCAGGUAACACUGAAUGGAGGCCCGAACCCACGCACGUUGAAAAGUGCGGGGAUGAGGUGUGGGUAGCGGAGAAAUUCCAAUCGAACCUGGAGAUAGCUGGUUCUCCCCGAAAUAGCUUUAGGGCUAGCCUUAAGUGUAAGAGUCUUGGAGGUAGAGCACUGAUUGGACUAGGGGUCCUCAUCGGAUUACCGAAUUCAGUCAAACUCCGAAUGCCAAUGACUUAUCCUUAGGAGUCAGACUGCGAGUGAUAAGAUCCGUAGUCAAAAGGGAAACAGCCCAGAUCGCCAGCUAAGGUCCCAAAGUGUGUAUUAAGUGGAAAAGGAUGUGGAGUUGCUUAGACAACUAGGAUGUUGGCUUAGAAGCAGCCACCAUUUAAAGAGUGCGUAAUAGCUCACUAGUCGAGUGACUCUGCGCCGAAAAUGUACCGGGGCUAAAUACACCACCGAAGCUGCGGAUUGAUACCAAUGGUAUCAGUGGUAGGGGAGCGUUCUAAGGACAGUGAAGUCAGACCGGAAGGACUGGUGGAGUGCUUAGAAGUGAGAAUGCCGGUAUGAGUAGCGAAAGACGGGUGAGAAUCCCGUCCACCGAAUGCCUAAGGUUUCCUGAGGAAGGCUCGUCCGCUCAGGGUUAGUCAGGACCUAAGCCGAGGCCGACAGGCGUAGGCGAUGGACAACAGGUUGAUAUUCCUGUACCACCUCUUUAUCGUUUGAGCAAUGGAGGGACGCAGAAGGAUAGAAGAAGCGUGCGAUUGGUUGUGCACGUCCAAGCAGUUAGGCUGAUAAGUAGGCAAAUCCGCUUAUCGUGAAGGCUGAGCUGUGAUGGGGAAGCUCCUUAUGGAGCGAAGUCUUUGAUUCCCCGCUGCCAAGAAAAGCUUCUAGCGAGAUAAAAGGUGCCUGUACCGCAAACCGACACAGGUAGGCGAGGAGAGAUCCUAAGGUGUGCGAGAGAACUCUGGUUAAGGAACUCGGCAAAAUGACCCCGUAACUUCGGGAGAAGGGGUGCUUUCUUAACGGAAAGCCGCAGUGAAUAGGCCCAAGCGACUGUUUAGCAAAAACACAGCUCUCUGCGAAGCCGUAAGGCGAAGUAUAGGGGGUGACACCUGCCCGGUGCUGGAAGGUUAAGGAGAGGGGUUAGCGUAAGCGAAGCUCUGAACUGAAGCCCCAGUAAACGGCGGCCGUAACUAUAACGGUCCUAAGGUAGCGAAAUUCCUUGUCGGGUAAGUUCCGACCCGCACGAAAGGUGUAACGAUUUGGGCACUGUCUCAACCAGAGACUCGGUGAAAUUAUAGUACCUGUGAAGAUGCAGGUUACCCGCGACAGGACGGAAAGACCCCGUGGAGCUUUACUGUAGCCUGAUAUUGAAUUUUGGUACAGUUUGUACAGGAUAGGCGGGAGCCUUUGAAACCGGAGCGCUAGCUUCGGUGGAGGCGCUGGUGGGAUACCGCCCUGACUGUAUUGAAAUUCUAACCUACGGGUCUUAUCGACCCGGGAGACAGUGUCAGGUGGGCAGUUUGACUGGGGCGGUCGCCUCCUAAAGUGUAACGGAGGCGCCCAAAGGUUCCCUCAGAAUGGUUGGAAAUCAUUCGUAGAGUGCAAAGGCAUAAGGGAGCUUGACUGCGAGACCUACAAGUCGAGCAGGGACGAAAGUCGGGCUUAGUGAUCCGGUGGUUCCGCAUGGAAGGGCCAUCGCUCAACGGAUAAAAGCUACCCCGGGGAUAACAGGCUUAUCUCCCCCAAGAGUCCACAUCGACGGGGAGGUUUGGCACCUCGAUGUCGGCUCAUCGCAUCCUGGGGCUGUAGUCGGUCCCAAGGGUUGGGCUGUUCGCCCAUUAAAGCGGUACGCGAGCUGGGUUCAGAACGUCGUGAGACAGUUCGGUCCCUAUCCGUCGUGGGCGUAGGAAAUUUGAGAGGAGCUGUCCUUAGUACGAGAGGACCGGGAUGGACGCACCGCUGGUGUACCAGUUGUUCUGCCAAGGGCAUAGCUGGGUAGCUAUGUGCGGAAGGGAUAAGUGCUGAAAGCAUCUAAGCAUGAAGCCCCCCUCAAGAUGAGAUUUCCCAUAGCGUAAGCUAGUAAGAUCCCUGAAAGAUGAUCAGGUUGAUAGGUUCGAGGUGGAAGCAUGGUGACAUGUGGAGCUGACGAAUACUAAUAGAUCGAGGACUUAACCA